rnacentral:lncRNA from 1 species
GAAGAGAGAAAUCAACGUUACAUUGAGGAAGCAGUAAUGCACAAUGAAUCCAAAAAUUUGCACUAGCGGUGUCAACUUGUUAUCACAACCUUAGUGUCACCUUAUUAUCACAAUUUUGAACAUGACUUUGGGUCUGAGGCAUUGGGUUCUAAAGCCUUUUAAAUUAAUAUUCGGUUUAUAUUCUUUUUAGACAAGAGAGGUUGCUCUGAUGUAAACAACUGCACUUCUAAUCGAGAGGUUGUGAGUUCGAGUCUCCUUAAGAGCAAUAUGGGAAGUUCUUGGAUGGAAGGAUACCGGGUUUCUAUUUGGAAAUAGCCUCUCUACCCCAGGGUAGGGGUAAGGUCUGCGUACAUAUGCCGGGUUUCUAUUUGAAAACAGCCUCUCUACCCCAGGGUAGAGGUAAGGUCUGCGUACAUACUACCCCCAUACCUCACUAAAUGAAAUUAUACUGAAUUGUUGUUGUUGUUCCGCUUAUUUUCUGUAGAAAUGUUUUUUAGAAAAUUUAUGUGUGGGUAUAAUUAAUAAAUUCUUCUACAAAGUGAUGUCGAAUUACGUCUAGAGAGUGACAUCGCAAGGCUCCUAAAGUUGAUUUUACACCAUCUAAUUAAUAAGAGUCUAGCUAUAAUGUAUAUCCGUAUGCAUACACGUAAUAACAACAACAACAAUCCAGUAUAAUUCCAUUAAGUGGGGUAUGGGAAGGGUAGUAUGUACGCAGACCUUACCCCUACCCUUGGAUAGAGAGACUGUUUCCAAAUAGAUCCCCGACAUCCUUCCCUCCAAGAACUUCCCACAUUGCUCUUGGUGAGACUCGAACUCACAACCUCUCGGUGGGAAGUGAGGAUUACAUACACAUAAUAUAAAAAGCAAAUUGCCGAUGGCUUCCACUAACAAUGGAAAUUGGACAGUGUCACUUGAAUUUACAGAAUACUAAAACUCACACACACAAAUUUAACUGAAAACAAGGACCACAGGUCACCACAACAUUAACUUUAGAAGCUUGAAACAUUAAACGAUCGUGUCAAACUGUCUUUGAGGACAAAGAAAAGUAAGGACAUGCCAAUGCUCAGAAAACCAAACAACAUUUGCUGAAACGAAGCAAGCCUAUUUGGUGUUCCAGUUGUUUGAAUUUGGACCCCCUGGUGUAGGAAUAGGUGCUCCUACUUGUGCUCUCACAGCUAAAGCCAUGAAGACAACCAUAAUUGCUGCUACAAAAACAAACUUUUCCAGAGACAUCUUUGCCUAUUUGGCUGGGGAAUUAAGUUUGUUCUUUAGUAUCUGAGUGUCCUAAGA